GGGCCCUGCACGGAGGCUGAGACCAGGAGAAACCCAGGCUCCUUUCGUCUGGCAGACCUCGGCGCUCCUCCACCGAGUCCUCCUGGCCGAGUUUUGCCGCCAGGACUGUAGAGGUGUUUUCUACCAGUAAUGUGAACCUGACUGCAACAGCACAGGACUCAUUCCUCUGAGCCAUCGGGCCAUACACAGGCUUUGAGUGCCUUCCCAGAAUCCCCCACAGCCUUUACGUUUUGUGAAUUGCUGAUGCAGGGUUAUGGAACCAUGGUGGCUCUUCCUACCAGAUUAAGGUGCAGCAAGGGGCACAGGCCUGGUUUGAAAGUCGCCCCGAGAAGAGGAUGCAAAGGGCUGCCCAUCACCGUCUUCACAAGUGGUUCCUCAUCCUGACCCCAGGCACUGUUAGGGUGACCAGACCUGGCCAAUCCCAAGGCACCUGCUCAGGGCAGUGAACAAAGCUUUCAAGUACACAGCUGCCCUCUGUGUUCAAAGAACCUCUAUGCCAGUGACGCCUUCCCAUGCCAGCUUCCAUUCACUCAGCAUCUCCUAAGUCCUCUCAGAGAGCUGUCAACGUUCAUGCGGACUCUAGAAGUUACUGCUGCCCUCAUUUUCAGAUAUGGAGACUUGAGGCUCAGAAAGCAGCACAAGCGAUAAAUAAAUUAAUUUUAAGAAAUAAAGUCCAGAGGAGGGAAUCAUUUCCAGGACACUGAGCACAGAGCAGGGUGGGCCAGUCACGCACACCUGAGUGAUCAGAUACAGCUGAGAGAAAAGCCCAGACAGCAAACAACAGUUCCUGAUUGCUGACAUGUGGUGAGGAAUGUGAAGGGGCAAGAGGCUCCAGAGACAGAGGCCUGUCUUGCCCACACAGCAAAACCUGAAAGGAGCCCAGUGAUCCUAUCUCUUCACACGAGGUUAUUUUGACCACGCCACGACAUAGAGAGAGAAGUCCAGAGCCAACGUGCACUGGGUCCAUCCUCCAUGCGUACCAAUGGCAUUCUGAGGCAGUUUCGAGGUGACAGAGUCCUAACAUGAAGACUUCAUCUUGAUAAAACAUGAAAUUGUCCUUGGGCCUGCAGGGGGAAUCCUGCCUACAGUGUAAGUGAAACAAACACAGCAGACCUAAGGGAAGCCAUCUUGACAUUCUCCAGGAGCUAUAGGAGAACAAAGAUUAACGCAGAACAGUGCCUAAGAUAUCUGGUGUUAGUCUUUCCCUAAAGUCAAAGCAACCUGGUCCCCAGUGCAUGCUGCAUACCAACAUCUGGUGCUUGCUCUGUGCUGACCACCAAACUCUGCUUCUGUAAACCAUGCUUGCUUGCUCUUGAAAAAUUAAUUAGGGGAAAGGGGGGAUGACUGGAGAGUGAAGGGCAGG